CGUGUCUGUCGUUUUUAUGUUCAGACCAAACCCUAGCUCCGCAUCGCAACCAUGUCGACCAAGCAAGGUGGAAAAGCUAAGCCUUUGAAGAAACCCAAGUCUGAUAAGAAGGAUUACGACGAGGUUGACAUGGCUAACAUUCAGAAGAAUAAGGAAGAGGAGAAGGCGCUAAAGGAGUUGAAAGCCAAGGCGCAACAUAAAGGAAGCUUUGGAGGUUUUGGGCUCAAGAAAAGUGGAAAGAAAUAAGGGCUCUUUAUCAUGAUUGUAUACAUCCAAUAUUGUGC